rnacentral:rRNA from 1 species
UCUCCUGGAAACGGGUGGUAAUGCCGGAUGCUCCAUCACACCGCAUGGUGUGUUGGGAAAGCCUUUGCGGCAUGGGAUGGGGUCGCGUCCUAUCAGCUUGAUGGCGGGGUAACGGCCCACCAUGGCUUCGACGGGUAGCCGGCCUGAGAGGGCGACCGGCCACAUUGGGACUGAGAUACGGCCCAGACUCCUACGGGAGGCAGCAGUGGGGAAUAUUGCACAAUGGGCGCAAGCCUGAUGCAGCGACGCCGCGUGAGGGAUGGAGGCCUUCGGGUUGUAAACCUCUUUUGUUAGGGAGCAAGGCAUUUUGUGUUGAGUGUACCUUUCGAAUAAGCACCGGCUAACUACGUGCCAGCAGCCGCGGUAAUACGUAGGGUGCAAGCGUUAUCCGGAAUUAUUGGGCGUAAAGGGCUCGUAGGCGGUUCGUCGCGUCCGGUGUGAAAGUCCAUCGCUUAACGGUGGAUCCGCGCCGGGUACGGGCGGGCUUGAGUGCGGUAGGGGAGACUGGAAUUCCCGGUGUAACGGUGGAAUGUGUAGAUAUCGGGAAAGAACACCA